rnacentral:rRNA from 1 species
CCUACGGGAGGCAGCAGUGAGGAAUAUUGGUCAAUGGGCGCUAGCCUGAACCAGCCAAGUAGCGUGAAGGAUGAAUGCCCUAGGGGUUGUAAACUUCUUUUAGAUGGGAAUAAAGUGCAGUAUGUAUACUGCUUUGCAUGUACCUUAUGAAUCAGGAUCGGCUAACUACGUGCCAGCAGCCGCGGUAAUACGGAGGAUCCGAGCGUUAUCAGGAUUUAUUGGGUUUAGAGGGAGCGUAGGCGGGUUGUUAAGUCAGUUGUGAAAGUUUGCGGCGCAACCGUAACAGUGCAUUUGAUACUGGCAUCCUUGAGUGCAGUAGAGGUAGGCGGAAUUCGUGGUGUAGCGGUGAAAUGCUUAGAUAUCACGAAGAACUCCGAUUGCGAAGGCAGCCUGCUGGACUGUAACUGACGCUGAUGCUCGAAAGUGUGGGUAUCAAACAGGAUUAGAUACCCUUGUAGUC